GAAAACACAUAAAAAGGAAUUAGUAAAAAGUUUGAAAUUUUAGAGAGCACAUGGCUGGUGGAAAUGUGUAUGGAUGCUUUUGAACUCGCCUUUCUCGUUUAGUUGCUGAAGUCAUAGUAAGCAAGUACGGUGACGACCGUUAACACGUUUGAGGCCUUUUGAAAAAAAGGUAAAUGUAGGUGGUACCACGUAGAUUACGUCCUAUAA
rnacentral:ncRNA from 1 species